rnacentral:rRNA from 1 species
CCUACGGGUGACAGCAGUGGGGAAUAUUGCGCAAUGGGCGAAAGCCUGACGCAGCGACGCCGCGUGAGGGAUGAAGGUCUUCGGAUCGUAAACCUCUGUCAGCAGGGAAGAACGGUCACUGUGCUAAUCAGCAUUGAAUUGACGGUACCUGCAAAGGAAGCACCGGCUAACUCCGUGCCAGCAGCCGCGGUAAUACGGAGGGGGCGAGCGUUAAUCGGAAUUACUGGGCGUAAAGCGCUCGUAGGCGGUAUGUCAAGUCAAGGGUGAAAUCCCCGGGCUCAACGUGAGAACUGCCUUUGAAACUGGCAAACUUGAGUGUGUGAGAGGAUGGUGGAAUUCCAGGUGUAGGGGUGAAAUCCGUAGAUAUCUGGAGGAACAUCAGUGGCGAAGGCGACUAUCUGGCACAUAACUGACGCUGAGGAGCGAAAGCGUGGGUAGCAAACAGGAUUAGAUACCCCAGUAGUC